UUUUUUUUAAAGGAAGACAAUUCGCUGGCUGAGUGCAAUAAAUGUUCAAAGAAAAUACCACGGGGAGGGAGAAGUAGAAUAGAACUAGCAUAGCCUUUGUCCAUCAGUGGAGGCCUUGUGACCUUUUUAAAAACUUAAACCAAAGUUAAACCGAGUUAAACAUUCUCAUGGCAAAAGCACUAAGCUUUAAGGACGAAAUAUUCUCCAAAUAUGACCAAGACUGGAUGUGACAAAAAAACAAGACAGAAAAAGAACAAGAAGGAGCCAGAGAGGAUCUGUUCUGGAAGAACACGAUGCAAGAGGGAAGAGUUUUCUUCCUCUUCAGCGGCCCGUGCCGUGACCCGGAUUUGAACCGGGGUUGCUGCGGCCACAACGCAGAGUACUAACCACUAUACGAUCACGGCUGCUGGAUAUCAACCUUACAGAGAGAAAGAGAGAACGCAAGACCAGGAGCGUGUUAGAAACAAUGACAUGAAGAGAAGAGAAGAAGAAAAAGAAGAAUGGGACAUGGGCAAGAUUUAGAAUACAAUCAUUAUUUGUAUUUAUUUUAACAUGAUUCCAAUGGAUUCAGUAACUGCCUCUGUCAUUAUUACUUUUUUCUGGCAUUUUCCCCCUGUAGAAAUAAGAGAGGCCAUGUUGUUACAAAUAAACAAGACAGAAUAAGAACAAGAAGCAGCCAGUGAGGAUGUGUUCUGGAUGAAUGCUGUGGUGUGGCUGAGAAAUACAUUUUUUACACAUGGUUUCACUUAAUUAAUUCCAUUAAUUGUUUGGCCAUUUUUGUUUCAAUUAGGACGCUUCUAAGAGAAAAAGGUAUCAGGCAAAGAGUGAGACAUGACAACACUUCCUCUAUAGCAGUAUCUGCUGUGACCCGGAUUCGAACCGGGGUUGCUGCGACCACAACGCAGAGUACUAACCACUAUACGAUCACGGCUGAUGCGUGGGCUGUGAAAGAAAUAGAAACAAAAGAUGAAAAGGAGGUCACAAGGGAAACUGUACCGUUAACACCAUUAAUAAUGGUAAAAACAAUUCGAUUUACUAAAAGAAAUGUUAUGAAUAAUUCUUAAGAAAGUUAAUUUUAUCAUAUUUUCCUUUAAGAAUGAAGAAACAAUAAUAUGAUGAGAGAAGAAGAAGAAGAGAAUCCUGGAUUGCUCAUUUGGCCCUGCCCAAUGAGUAACCAUAUUCAGGGAUUAAAAAUAACCCAUACACUGGGUUAUUAUUUCAAUAAAACUUACAGUACUUGUUAUAAUAAAAAUAAAUGGUGCGUAAUUUAUUGUGAUUUGUAAAAUUAAACUAAAAUAUAGACCACUGCCGAGGGCCUCAAAGCACUCCUCGUUGGCUGAUUUGAAACAAGUGCGGGCACUGCACACUUCUUGCUGGCUCGUCUAACGUAUGUAACGUAACAUACAGUUGCUGAUUCACAUAUCAUUCAUUCAUUAGUGUGCGAUUUGGAAGAAAAAGACAAAACUUGGUAAUUCAACCAGGAGCUGUUUAGCUCCAUCAAAAAGCCACUCAAUGAGUUUAUUUUUAUUUUAUUUUUGAUCUAAAUGGAAUAAUUUAUAUAUAUUAUGUAUUGUUUAAAUAUAAUAGAAUUUAUGUAAUGUACUACGGGUGUGGGAGAUGUCAGUUUGUGUGAUGGUAUUAUUGAGCUGCAAUUUUUUCCUCACUAUUUGGUUUUUAUUGUGAGAGUAUGGAUUGUGUUAUUUCUGGAAUCCAUAAUAAUUUUCCUGCAUGGCCUCACCAGAAUGUCCAAACCAAAAUCACCACUACUGCGCUGUGUGUAGCACACUGUUCCGGAUUUAUGAUGCGCCAAUGAAAAUCCGUAUUUUUUUGUGUCAUAUAUUAUUUGGGACGUUGAUUUUAUUGGGAAACAUAAUAUGAAAAGCAACAGGCCAUUUCUCAAGAAAACAGACUGCUGUAUUGUUUGUUACAUAGGAUAUUGUGGAUGUAUAAAAUAUUUCCUUGUGUUCAUCAAAAUAUUAGUAAUCUA